UACGUAGGGUGCAAGCGUUGUCCGGAAUUAUUGGGCGUAAAGAGCUCGUAGGCGGUUUGUCGCGUCUGCUGUGAAAUCUGGGGGCUCAACCCCCAGCCUGCAGUGGGUACGGGCAGACUAGAGUGCGGUAGGGGAGAAUGGAAUUCCUGGUGUAGCGGUGAAAUGCGCAGAUAUCAGGAGGAACACCCGUGGCGAAGGCGGUUCUCUGGGACGGUACUGACGCUGAGACGCGAAAGCGUGGGGAGCGAACAGG
rnacentral:rRNA from 1 species